rnacentral:rRNA from 1 species
AGCGAACGCUGGCGGCAGGCUUAACACAUGCAAGUCGAGCGGGCAUCCUUGUGGUGUCAGCGGCAGACGGGUGAGUAACGCGUGGGAACGUGCCCUUCGGUUCGGAAUAACUCAGGGAAACUUGAGCUAAUACCGGAUACGCCCUUUUGGGGAAAGGUUUCCUGCCGAAGGAUCGGCCCGCGUCUGAUUAGCUGGUUGGUGAGGUUAUGGCUCACCAAGGCGACGAUCAGUAGCUGGUCUGAGAGGAUGAUCAGCCACACUGGGACUGAGACACGGCCCAGACUCCUACGGGAGGCAGCAGUGGGGAAUAUUGGACAAUGGGGGCAACCCUGAUCCAGCCAUGCCGCGUGAGUGAUGACGGCCUUAGGGUUGUAAAGCUCUUUUCUCCGGGACGAUAAUGACGGUACCGGAGGAAUAAGCCCCGGCUAACUUCGUG